AACUAUGUGCCAGCAGCUGCGGUAAUACAUAGGUCGCGAGCGUUAUUCGGAUUUAUUGGGCGUAAAGCAAGCGCAGGCGGAUGGCUAAGUUCUAUGUUAAAAGCGGCUGCUCAACAGUCGUUUGCAUAGAAUACUAGCCGUCUAGAAUGUGGUAGGAAGUUUUGGAAUUAAAUAUGGAGCGGUGGAAUGUGUAGAUAUAUUUAAGAACACCAGAGGCGAAGGCGAAAACUUAGGCCAUUAUUGACGCUUAGGCUUGAAAGUGUGGGUAGCAAAUGGGAUUAGAUACCCCAGUAGUCCACACCGUAAACGAUGGGUAUUGGGUGUCGGGGCUUGAGCCUCGGUGCUGUAGCUUACGUGUUAAAUACCCCGCCUGGGUAGUACAUAUGCAAAUAUGAAACUCAAAGGAAUUGACGGGGACCUGAACAAGUGGUGGAACAUGUUGCUUAAUUCGAUAAUACACGAAAAACCUUACCAAGGUUUGACAUCCCUCGCAAAUCCAUAGAAAUAUGGUGGAGGUUAUCGAGGUGACAGGUGGUGCAUGGUUGUCGUCAGCUCGUGUCAUGAGAUGUUUGGUUAAGUCCCGCAACGAGCGCAACCCUACUCUUUAGUUACCUUUCUAAAGAGACUGAACAGUAAUGUAUAGGAAGGUUGGGAUCACGUCAAAUCAUCAUGCCCCUUAUGCCUUGGGCCGCAAACGUGUUACAAUGGCGAGUACAAUGUGUCGCAAUCUAGCGAUAGUGAGCUAAUCACUAAAACUCGUCUCAGUCCGGAUAAAAGGCUGCAAUUCGCCUUUUUGAAGUUGGAAUCACUAGUAAUCCCGUGUCAGCUAUAUCGGGGUGAAUACGUUCCCAGGUCUUGUACACAC
rnacentral:rRNA from 1 species